GUUGACUCAGAGUCUCAGAUAGACAGACUCUCCCAUAUGAGCAGCGACCGUUGAAGUGAAAGGAACUCUCCUGCUCACUCUCUGGAACUCCAUCCAGCCAGCCACUUUCAACGAUUGUUUUGUAUCCCGACGUUGAAUUAUUUUGUAUAUUUUUUUUUCUAAAGUGAAUUUAUUUAUUUUGAAAGUUUUCGUGAAGAUUGACGGUAAGAAAUAAGCCAUGUUGUGACACCGGUGGUAAUUUUUUAAUUUUUUUUUUAUUAGUGUUGUAGCGAUCAGCUGAUUUUGUCAAAUUAUUUAUUGCUUAGUUUUGAUCUAUUAUUACUGUCUUGAGUAACGUUACUGUAUACCAAACUUAUAGUUUUUUUUUAUAGUGGAUAACAGGGAUUAGACCUUGCAUAGGACUUUUAAAAAAAUUAAUAUAAAUUUAUUAUUGUAGGAUAUUGAUUGAUGGCAAAUGGCCGAAGGUCACGGUGUGUGAAAGUAAAAUGGUUAUUGUUCAUAAUAUUUUAGGUUGUAGUUUCAAUUCAUGUGGUCGUACUUUUAAUUCGCCAUUCAUUCAUAGUAUGUUUAAUUUGCCAGUAAUUGCGCAUUAUGCGUAUUGCACCAGCCCAGAUAAGGUGAAAUCAGGCUGGACAAAGUGGAAGUUGUACGACCUUCUUGAGCCACUCCCCGGAAAAGGGGGGAGAGGGAACGGGGGAACUGUCAUGGACCCCGUGGGGGGGUGGGACUCCCCAGAAAGGGGGUGGUGUGGUGGGGGCACCUUUCCCCCGAAUGAAAGGUUGGCAAAUUGCCCGGCCGCCAUUUCAGUGGAGUGAAUGGUAGCUAGAUUUAGCAGUGUUCAGUUAGGGAGGGACAAUGAUGGUUCUAAGCAGAAUAUUUUUUAGCAGUUUCUCAUUGUUACUGUUUAGUGGGAAAGGGAGGUAGAUUGAAAGAAUGUGGCUCCCCCCCCCCUCUUUGUUUUAUGAACAAAGAAUAUGGCUUCCUUUUUUUUUUUACGAACUCUAUGUGGUAUCAAAGUGAUUUGUGCAUCAAUGAAGUGCAAUGGUGAUAAUGAAACCUGCAAAAGUUUGCUUACUGGCGUACGUUGAUGUGCCGUGAGAUGUUACGUGUGAAGGGUCACAUGAAAUAUUCAGUGUUAGUGAGGACGGCCGUAGGUUAUUUAUAGUUUUUUGAAUUGAUUGGUGUUAAGUUUAAUAUAUCUUAUAGGUUUGAUAAUAUAGGAUGUACCCUGUUAAUAAUUGAUUUGAUAUUAUGGGAUGCACCCUGUUGAUAAUCGGUCAUUAAAUAGAGGCAUCAGUUAGGGAAGUCUUGCAUGUACCCUAUUGUCUGUGGAUCAUAUCUCGCUCUGUAUGUAGAGCGAAGUGUUCCUUGGACAGAGACAUCUGCAUGCUGACCUAUUUGGGCCCCAUAUUUAAUGACCAAAUGUUCCAAUAUCAACAGUAAGUGCACUUAUUACUAUAUGCUAGGAUCUUGAUACCAUUCAGUAGGCUGCCUUGCGAUAUGGCUGAGAAGAUUGACUAAUGAAAUAUAAAUAUACUAACCACAAAAAUUGCACAUGUUUUUCCUAAUUAGGGAAUGUUUUUAUAUUGAUUUGCAGUACAGUAUAGAACACGGAAAGGUAAAUAUCCUGUGUUGAGCCUAGGCAUUUGUUUUUAGAUGGCGUCACUUGCAAUUACAGAUAGUUAAUGGAUGCUUUUAAGCAGAAAAGGUUUUAUUUCAACACGACUAGCUUGGAACCUCCCAUUAAAACCUAUUGAUUUGGUUUUUAAAUUUUUUUUUGUUAUGAAAGGAAGUUUAGCUGAAUGGCCAGCGUAGGAUUCAUUUAAUGGAAAAUGGUAUGUUAUUUAGCAAUGGCCAGGGUCUGAAGGUUGGAAAGACAAUUCAUUUUCAUUUUUUUAUUAUUUCAAUGAAGUAGUUGCUUUGGCAAUAAAAAAUAAUUUUUAAUCCACUUUUAAUUUAUGAAGAAAAGGUUAAUUUAGAAACUUGGAUCACUAAGUAGCAAUCAGUUAUAGAUAAGUAUUAAGUUUGGUGUAUUUUGGAGCGAUAUAAACAUCAGUGUAGUUGGAGGAUUCAUGUUGAAGGGUUGUAAGCUGUUAGGGAUAGCAUGACAUGGCUUAUUCUGUGUUAAUCAUCACAGACUUUUUGCUGUUUAAGUAUAUGUAGUUAUGCAUUAAUCAUCGUAGACAUUUUCCAUAAAGUAUAUUUAGUUAUACUUUAUGUAUUCUCGUGUAUGGUCAUCAAGUCAAUUUUGACUUUAAAAAAAAAUGUAAACCAUGGUUUUUUGUAUGCCAUUUUCUGGCCACCUAAGGCUGGAAAGAUGUACUAUCAGAAUAAAAUGAAAAUGGCAAAGGAUUAUCUUGAGUAUCAUUUUGGUUACCUUUUCAUGUUUUGUGAACGGUUUAGUUAAUGAUUUCCUUUUUACAGCAGUUGCUGUGUUCGCAUGUCGAAUGGCAUGGACAACGCCUCCCUCCCCAGGCCAUCGGGAACCAUCCCUAGCACUGAUUUGGUUUAGUACUCUGCAGCAACGAGUCUGUUGACACCGCACUGGUUAAGAACUGCAAUCCUACAUACCUUUUUAUACUCAAAAUGUAUAUCUUGAGGAAACUUGAAAUAUUGGUACAAGAGUUUAACAGCGAAUACGAUACUCCCGAAACAAUAUUACUCCUUGCAGUGUGGUGUUACGAUGGCACCUGUACAUACUGCGCAGGAAAGGUUCUUCUCAAACUGAAACUGAACACUACAUCCCUACUACCCCCACUGCAGCAGCCGUCACCCAUGCCCUUUGUGUGACUGGUAGACGUAUCAUUCAUUUUAGUUAACAACUUGCUUUCUGGAGAGAAUUUGAUAAUCUUAUACAGUACAGUGUCUUGGCAAUAUUUGGGUUAGAUUCUGUCAUUUUUUUUAUUUUAUUUUUUUAUCAAGAUUGAGCAGUAUGAAUGUUGAAUAUGGAAUUUUCACCACUUUCAUCUCAUCCUCAAAACUUUCUUUUAUACCAUCCCAUGGCUAUGCUGUGACGACAUGCAACCUGUAUGGCCCACCACCUGACUCAAGAAACUGCUUCUGUUCCGACUGUGAGCACAAGUUUAGUUGAGGUAUGGGGAGGGGUUUGGUAUUUUCAUUUAUUACAGCCAAUUGGUUUUGUUGCCUGACUUAUCUCAACGCUUAGUGGCUCAGGUUUUUUGUCAUCUGUGCACUCAUUAAGGACUGUACAGUUGAUUAGCAUGAGUUAAUAUAAAAUAUAUUCAUGCUCAGUAAUUCUGAUUAAUAGUGGCUUAUUGAUUAUUAAUUUAUAUUUGAUAUAUUAAUAAGAAACUUCAGAUUGUCCAGAUUUGGUAAGCAUUUGACAGAGUGAACAGUUUCUCUACAGUAACUGAUAUUAAUGUUUUCCAUAAAAUCACGAUUUAGUUAAUGUUUAUCCAUAAGAGAAUCAUGAGAUAAGUUUAAUUGUAAGCUGCUUAGACUAUGAGUGAGAAUUGCUCUACACUUAGCUGAUAAUUCAUGUUAUUUCAUAUGAAAAUCACGACUUGAAUUAACUGUAACAUGCCUAGACUUUCAGUAUAAGCUUUCUGGAAAGUAGUAGUCAAAGUAGCAUGAUUGUAUCAUUGUAUGAGAUUAAAUGUAUGUUCAGGUAGUGAACUUGCUUGGGAAAAGUUGUAAGAGGUAGGACAGUCUUAUUAUGGAAUGCCCAUCUUACUCUUUCUUUUUACCCCGUGCUCUUUCAUAUUCAACCUGAGCCCUGGGUGCCGAUAGAUUUGCAGUAACCGGAAUAGAAAUUCGCAGCUGUCAACGAGGUAGAGGUAUGACAAGUGUAAGAUGUCCAAAGCAGAUUUUACCAUUAACUCUCCCCCUUUUAAAGUUCAGAUUAUGAUAGUUCUUCCACAAUCAUAUGAUGGGCUAUGGUAAAGGUAAGUUGCAGAUGCAGUAAAAAGGGCAGAAAUUAUCUGGAAAGUAAAAUUGGAAAUCGGAAGUUAUGAUGGUGGGACAAAUUUACUGUUAACUACACCUUUACUGUAGCCCAAGAUUUCAUGAAACUAUUACACUUUUGCUUGACAGUUAAGCAAGUAAUAACCCUGUUUUGAAUCAGUUCAGAAUACGAGUAAAUUGGAGGAAAAUGAGAUUGAGGUAUGAGGAUUGCUUCAUAUUUAUUUAAAGCUUUACCAGUGCACAUAAGAUUAACUUCUAGAAGUAAAACCUUGCAACAGAUGUAGAACCUUUGGAAAGUUGUCAACAGGAGUCUUAAUAAUGAAAUACGUUCUGUAUAUGAAUAUGAAAAAUGCCCAAUACUGUCCUUACAGGAGUCUCCAGAUACGUAUAAGCAAGUGAUGUGUCAUUGUCCAGAAACAAGAGUGGUGUUAAGCACAACUGAUGGUACAAUUGCAGACGGCAAGGGGUCCUCUGCAACAUCUUAUAGUUCUGCUAAGUUUCCAAUGAAUAAAAAAAAUAAUAGGUUGGCUGCAGGCAAAGGGUCCUGAGGCUAUCAAUUCCCAUCAAGGUAUUCCAGUAAUCGGUAGUGGAGCCAUAGGCAAGGGGUCCUGUGUCCUGGCUGUUUCAUGUACAUCUUGAAGGGUCAACUGCAGUCCCUGAGUGUUGCAAGGUAUUUUUUUAAAGGAAAUUUUCUUACAGAACAUGCAAUUUUUUUAUUUAAUUUUUUUUUGAGGAAAAUCUUAUUUUUUUUUUUCAAAGGCAAUAUAAACCAUCCAGACUUUUCUCUGUACUACUAAAGGUACUUUAAAAUUUUCCAUUUAUACUAUUCUACAAUGCUGAAUGUAAUUGAAAUUCUUUUAUAAUCAUUCACUUGUACCAAAACAAAUGGUCAAAGGAAGUAAGGGGUUUGGGUUGGGUUGUGAAAGUUUGUUACAGGUUCUGACGACUACGUGACAAGUUGGUACGCUGUCCUUCAGCGAGUUGGACAGGAGUUGAUGGGUAACAAAGAUUCGAUAUGCAGUGAGUGAGGUUCUUGAACUACUACAAAGGUGUUGGAGGAUCACUAGUUCCCACAGAAUUGCGAUUUGACCUGCGCACUACCUAGUUUGUGUACCGGUUUUGAAAGUUUGCUUUGCGGUUUGACAAGAACACUUUGGGGCGCAUGUAAGUUGAAUGAUCCAGCCAAAAUAUACUUGAUCAAUGGAAACCUGUAAUGCUGUUAUUUCAUUUUUUAUUUUUUUUUUUAAAUCUCCAGUCAUUACCAAUUUUGAAUACUUCAGUAGUUAUUUAAUUGAAGCAAAUUAUUUAUGCAUUGGGUUAUGGGUCUUCAUAAUGUUCAGGGUUGCUCUAUCCUCAUUUGCUAAUGGGUUGUGUUGGUAUGGAAUUUGUAGAUGGUAGUUUAUGAAGAUAGGAUUAUGCCUUUGUAUAGUAUGUAAUUUGUUGGAGGGUAGCAGGGAAGGAAGUUGCAAGUGGCUUAAAUUUUUGUCAAAUAACUGUAUUGCAUAUGUUGUGCUAGCUUAUGGUAUAGUGAGCUUGUUAAAAAUUCUAAAUUUAAUCUUGCGAUAUUUAGCCCUUUCCAUAGAAUGUUACUACUAAAAUUGAAUGUGAGCAAUUGUAACAAUAAAAGAUAGAGAGCUUUGGGCAAGGGCUGGGAAGGGGAGAGGGUUAUCCAUUGCCAUUCCAGUGCCCCCACAGAUAUGAAAGCUGUCCUGCAGAGUGAAGUCCAGCAAGCAAUGGUAACCUUGUUGGCUCUGCGUGUAAAUCCCAGCAAGUGCUGUAGUAAUUCCGCGUAUACCUCUCAAAUGUGUUGCAAGUAGCAAAGCCUUGGUUCUGCGCAUGUUGCGAAGAAGCCGCCGGUGUAUGCCAUUUGAAGCUAGGACUGUCCGGUCCCCAAGGACCAGUGGAAUGGGUUUGGAACCAUAUGUUUUGUGUACUUAGUCACAUGCAUGAGUAGUUGGUACCCUGUUCCGUUUCCUUUGGUAUAUAUUCAGUAUAUUGCAUUAAGAUAUUGUUUUAUGAGGUUCAAUGGUUGCUUGCCAGCCAUAUGGUCAGAGUAGAUUUAGUUGGGUGGUAGGUUGCAAGUCCUGAAAAAGUCCAUUUUAAUCUUCAGGGUUUUAAGAAAUGUAAUAUCCUUUUUAGUAGUUAGCAGACAAACAAUACUAUUGGUUUUGCACACAAAGCUUAGAGCAGCUGCAAUAAUUUUCGUGGGGUUGACCCUGAAGUGGUUGCUUUCGUUCAUGCCGUGGCGAUGUACAUCAGUGGCUCAGUUCGUUUAUACUCUGUAGCAUGGGAAGCAGUUUUCAGUAAAGCAUGAAUUGGAUGGGCAAGUUUUCUUGAUGUUUUCCCCCCUACAGUAUGCUGUUAAUGUAUGCUGGAAUAUAAUUUAGGUAGCUAGUUAUUAUUAUACAGUUAGGCCGCUACUUUUGUCACUACGUCGAUCAGCAUUGUUUGGCACAUUAUUAAUAACAAACAUUUUUAUGAAUUAACAAGGUGGCUAUGCGACAGCAAUUUCUUUGAAACUAAAAAUAGCUUGAUAUUUGUCACUGAUGUGUAUUUGUACAUGUAAAUACUGUAGGCUGCUUCCUUUGUUGUAUGUUAAACAGAACUGGACACGAUCAGUAUUUUGCCAGAGCAUGAUAUUGAAGCCUUCAGGUUCAUGGCACUUGACGUUGGUCUUAAACUUACUAUAGAAAUGCAAGAAGCUUCAAAGAAAACUUGCUUGUUAAUGCACUGACAGCCUUUUUAACUCCUCUUUGAAUGCACUUUUUGAAAGUUUUGUGGGUUUUAAGAACUUUAUAUGGGACAUCUGUUCUUGCUGGCUGAAUUCAUUGCUAAUUACUUGCAAUUCUUGGAUUUUCAUUUCUGCUGUAAGCUCUAUAUCUUUGGAAGUUUUUAUAUGUAGGUUUUAAUGUUGCCAGGGUGUAUUUGGUGUUACAAUUAAUAGAAUUAGUUUAGUAAGCUACUACCAUAAAAAAUUUUGGAUGUAUUCACUGGUUUGAAUCCUUGAAUGCCCCUAUAUGCCAAUGAAAUCUAACCCUGUAAUCUUGUGCAGUAAUCUGUUAGAGGAUCCAGCAUUUAGACAUUUUAUGAGAAUGUAGGAAAACCCAAUACUGUAUGCUUUAUAUACGUAGCUUAGGCAAUUUUGUGCUAUUCAUCAGGUACAUGUGACGUUGCCCAGCAAAGGAAAGUUUUAACCCCCCCCCCCCAUAAAUAUCUGAAAACAUUCCCAAACUUCGAAUGUGAGGGGUGAGAUCACCCCCCACCCCCCCUCUGGAUCCACAAACUAAAAGGAUGUUAAGUGUUUUUAUUUUGCCUUCAUGUAUAUGCAUAAGAAGCAGCAGCGUUCUUCGGUAUAAUCAAGCCAAAAUUUGUAAGGAACUGCUUUUGGUAAACACCGUUGAAACAAACCUAAUGUUUACGUAUGGCGCGCCCCGACUAUUGCUUUAUACUCUACGAGCGUUCUCCAAGAGCACGCUAGUUACAGCUGGUUUAACGAAGGAAUGAUGAACUUGCACAUUGAAUCAAAGCUUUCCACUUUCCUGGUUUUAAGAGUGCGUGCUUUUGCCUACUUACGCAAUGGCUGUGGUCAAGGGUGUUCCUACCUCAUUUCCAAAUCAUAACUGCUGCAUCGUGGUAGUGGAUGGUUGUCGAAGAACUACCUCUGGGAAAGUUGGACUCAUGAAUUAUUCAUCAAAUUUGUUAACAGCUCGGUAAAGUGAAGUCAAACCUGGUUCCCAAAUUUCCUCUAUGCUGGUUAGUAUACUUCAUGCCAUUGUUGUAAAUGAGAAAAGCAUGAGACGUGUAUGAUUUUGUGAACUACUGAGGAUUGGCAUUGUCUAACUAUCGAUUUUUGUAGACGUGUCAAUAACCACAUGAUUUAGGAAU